rnacentral:tRNA from 1 species
CGCGGGGUAGAGCAGUUUGGUAGCUCGCAAGGCUCAUAACCUUGAGGUCACGGGUUCAAAUCCCAUCUCCGCAA